UGAGAAGUUUCUGAAGUCCAGCAAUGGCUUCCUCGUACUCCUUCCCCAUGUCUUCCGUCUGCAAUUUCUCAAUUUUAAUACACAUGCACAAAAACAACCUCUGAAAAAAUAAAACAACCCCGAGUCUAAGGUUGUAUUAAAAUUUUUAAUUUUAUACUAUCAAAAAUUGAUGUCUUGUCUCAGCAUUGAACACUAUAACGAACAAGACUCUUUUUCUUAACAUUAUCGAGUCAAUUGGGAUAGUUAGUUAAUAAAGUAUAGUACCAAAAUAGGGUGGAUGAUAGGAGCAGGAGCAGCAAAAACAGGCUUGUUUUGAAUGAGACUCGGAGGAGAAUUAGACAACGCUUGACAGUUAUUAAAAUUUUUAAUUUUAUACUAUCAAAAAUUGAUGUCUUGUCUCAGCAUUGAACACUAUAACGAACAAGACUCUUUUUCUUAACAUUAUCGAGUCAAUUGGGAUAGUUAGUUAAUAAAGUAUAGUACCAAAAUAGGGUGGAUGAUAGGAGCAGGAGCAGCAAAAACAGGCUUGUUUUGAAUGAGACUCGGAGGAGAAUUAGACAACGCUUGACAGACUACGAUGGGACGUCUCUUGAGGGAUGAAGAAGAUUGUGCGGUGGGAAUGAGAGAAGUAAGAGCGCACCC
rnacentral:lncRNA from 1 species